rnacentral:tRNA from 1 species
ACCUGGCUGGCUCAGUUGGUGGAGCGUGUGACUCUUCCUCUCAGAGUUGUGGGUUCAAGCCCCAUGUUAGAUG